rnacentral:lncRNA from 1 species
GCCCGACCAAAACGGUUGUGGGGAGCAGAGAACAUGGGUUGGGCGAGGGGUGUCACCAUUGUCGACCUCGGGUGUUAACCAUCCUCGAACCAUCGAUUCGCGUGGAGGGGCGAGUACCGACAUCCGUCUCGCAUUUCCCCGCUAUCAUCCGAGCAUUAAGGGUGACCGUAGGGCAAUAAAUUGCUCACCGGCGUCGUGAAUUCGGCAGAGCACCGCCGUGCGUCGUGGGCAUGAACUCCUGGAGCCUAAUCACCGGUAAGACCUUGCCCCGUGGACUCGCCCCAACCCCCGCUACGCGUAGCACCAUAGGGAUCAGGUUCGUUGUGUAGGUUACGAGAUCCGGGAAUGGUGGCAAUGGCGCCGCCGUGGUUUGCCCAGGCUUUGCCGCUGGCGUGAUCCCGUGAGGAAGAAAGCGCCUGGACCGUCCAUCUAUUGCUCGACGGCUAGAUUUAGACCUAAGUGUACCCUUUCGCUGCGUGUGAUCCAUGCCAUCGAUUCAUCCGCGGGCGGCUACGAUUAGAUCCUGCCAUCAUCGAUUCUGGAUCGUGGGAUCGAAAUGGGCGGAUCAGAUUAGAUGUUCGCGUACCCCUUCAGCUUUCUAAUCUCAGCCCUGAAUUCGGGAUCGGGAGGCUCGGAUGAAAUCUAGCUCUCGGUCGCAGGGAUAUUUGUUAAAGAACCCUUGGAUGUUUCCGAAAAUAACCCGCCAUCCCUGUCUGGUUGAAUACAAUUACGGUUAGAUCCUCGGAUUUUACAAAACAGCCCUUGAUGUUAUAAAAUAUUUCUGGAAAUUGUUUUUGCUGUAAAAAUAAAUCUAGAACCUUAGAAAAUCCAUAUCUCCUUCGUCUUAACUUCUUUUUGAUCCAUUCCAGUUGCAUUAAUCUCAUAUUAAAAUUGUUUAUCAUCUAAUGACAAUAUUUAGUCAUGAAACAUAGAUUAAAAUUAUGCAGUUAGUUUAUUAUAUAUUGAACACCUAAAUUUUCAGAAAAUCAUAACUCUUUAACCGUAAUUCCGAUUUUAGUGUUUCUCGAACCUGCGAUCUUGUUACGACGCGUAGAAUAUUAUUAUGCAGUUUGUGCUUAUGUUUGGUGUGAUGUUAAUUUUGUCUAUAUCAUGUUUGUUUGUAUUGCUACGAAUAGAAGUGAAGUCACGAGAAUCUAAAGAUCAUCUUGGUACCUGGAAUCUCGAGUCUAAGGCAAGUUGUGUCCUUGAUCACUUUUCUUAACCAAAUAAUGUUCUUGGUAAUCACUGUGACAUGCUCAGGUUAAUUUGAUGGGACCUAAUAGGAUUCCCUAGCAUUGUGUAUCCCCACCUAUAAACAGAUGAAUUAUUGGGUAGAUUUGCUAUUGCUCUACCUGGCUUUGGUAAACUAAUGUUUUAUUACGAUCAUGUUCCAAUUAUGUUGUUGUUUAAUUAUUAUUUAUGAUAAGAUCAUAUUGUUAAUUGGAACAUGGAGCGAAGGGAGUCCCAUUCCACCCUUGUGGUAGCACUAUUUUCCCGGGUGGUCUCUCCAUGUUCAAUUUAAUAUAAUAAUAUGAACAUGAACAAUAAUUAAACCAGCAAUAUUAAUGGAACAUGAUCAUAAUUCAAUAUAACAUUAAUCCAAAACCAAGUAGAGCAAUAGCGAGUCUACCCAAUAGUUCAUUUGUUUCCAAGGUGUGGGGUAAACAAAACUAGGGAAACAUAUUAGGUCCCAUCAAAUUAACCUGAGCAUGUCACAGUGAUUGACAGAGAACAUUAUUAGGUAAAGAAGAGUGAUCAAGGGCACAACUUGCCUUUUUGGUGCAACUCCAAGUACCUCACCAAGUUGGUCUUCGGGUUUCUCGUGACCUCGCUGCUACUCGUAGUAAUACAUACAAAUAUACAAGGAGUACAUAAAAAAUAACAAUACACUAAACAUAAGAAAACAACUGCGUAAUAAUAUUCUACGUGGUGCUACGAGAUUGCAAGUUCGAGAAUCACAAAAAUCAGAGUUACGAUUUAAAAGGUAUAGUUUUCAGAAGACUUGCGUGAUUAAGUAAUUAAAAUUAGGCCUUGCGUUGAUUUUAUAUACCAUGUGAGAGAAUAACUUAACUAAAUAUUUAAUUAAAAUCUAAUCUAAAUUAUAUCUUGACUAGAGAUUUUAUUUUUAGUCAGUUUAUAAUAAUGGAUAAUUAACUUUAACAAACUAGAAAGGUUAGAACAUAAGUUAAACGAGUAUGUAAUUAUAAAAGUCUAGGAUAUGGCACAAAUAGUGUUAUUAUAGCAUAGGAAAUUUUACUACAGAGCUAACGCAACAUAAACGGAUUAAAUCAGAGUUAAAAUGCCUAAACUAUAGACAAAACAAGUUUCUAGCUAUUUUUAUAAUAGAUUUAUACCCAAAAUAACCGCGAGGGGUGAAUACGCAAAAUUCUGAUUUAGUUACAUCUAUUUUUACUUAAGAAAUGGAUUGUGGAUUCUUUUAAAUAAAUCUCAGGGGCCUUAUGCAAACUCACACGACCGAAGGGGUAUCCAUGAGUUAUCCCUACCGAAGGGGUAUCCAUGGAUUUCGUCGUGACGGUCACCAUUAGAUCUAAUCACUUAUGGAGUGUUUGGUUUAAGGAAUGAUGUAGUCCAUUAUCUUCUCACUCCUUACUUUUUUGUUUGGUUUGUGGAAUGGAGUGAGUUAAUCCAUCACCACCUUAUUCCUCAUAGUUAGUUGUUUAGUACUAAUAUGUGGAAUAGAGUCAUCCCACCAAAUUUGAGGAAUGGACUCAUGAUGCAUCACUUCAUUUUGGAUAGAGUGAUUCUUCAAACCAAACACCUUAUUAAUGAACCGAUAUGACAUGAGGACCGCAGGAUCAGAGAUUAGUGGCCCCAAAACACCCACACCCAUGGCGAAUCCCAAGCCCUCGGAUUUGAUCUUGAUGUCUCUGAUUUAACCAUUACGGAGGGGUAACUCACUUCUAAUCCUGGCUGUCGAUCUACUAUUCAAUGGCCCGAGGCCAUCCUCUACCUGCAGGCGGCCAACCACAAUAGAGCUCUGCUCACGCGGCGGCGCAACCUGGCAAGCUACCCUGCCCGGUGAUUCCACACGCCCAAGCCCAAAUUGAAAGGCGAACACCCGGCUACGAUUAUGGUGAAACAAAGGAGUAAGUUCUUACCCACAACCGAGCAGUAUAGAGCGCAGUUGACGUCGGCGGCGAUCUCGUCCCCCCCCCCCCCCCGUUUGGUCUCUCUAUGCCUUUCUGCUAGAUGCGAUGAGGCGACCCAGGCGGUGGUGGUGGCAAACAUAGCGGCGUGUUGAGUUAGGUGAAGCCUCCCGGCUAGCCCUUUAUACACCACAAGGUAGAUCAGAUUGUGAAUCUCCCGUCCGGCCACCUUGGUAAGGUUUGUUUUGAUCUCGCAUGACGAGCAUCCAUUCUUAUUAUGGAGAUAGCGGUGAAUGUCAGAGUGGCCCCACCUAACCUCGGCGCAGACUGAAGGAGAAGCGAGGCCUGCUGGCCAGAGCCGCGUGGCUUAGAGGCGGACUCCGCAUGACCGCGACGUGCUCGAUGAAGAAGGCAGGGCUAACUUCCUAGCCCCAGUGUCCAGUGAACCUAGAACAAUGCGCAUGCGAGCACCCAAGAGACCAAGCAGUGGGCCUGGUGUGUCAUUCACUAGCGAGGAGAUGAGUGGGCUGGCAAGUGGGUCCCACCGGUCGGUGCAACAGCGAGUGCGGCUAAAAGGAGAAAUGGGCUAAUGUGUGCACGAGAAGGUGGGGUAGUUGGGCCGAGCGGCACCAGAUUCGGCCCAGGUAAGCCUUUACCCUUUUCUAAUUCUAUUUUGUUUUCUUUUCCUAUUUUCCUCUCUUAUUCCCAUUUAAAUUCAUGUAUAAGUUUAAGUUUGCAAGGUAUAAUUGCAUAAGUAAUAAAAUCCUAGCAUGAUGCAAGGUUUACCCAUUUAAUUAUUUAUUAUCUUGGUUUAUCCAUUGAAGAAGUGCUUUCAAUAUGGAAUUCAUAUACAUAAAAGGUACUAUUCCAUGAAAAUCGUUUCCCAUCUCUCAUAUUAAAUAUUCUAAUGAAUUUUUCUAAAUAAGUUUUAUUUGGAUAAGGAUUUCUGAUUUAUUUCCUACUAAGACAAAAGUUCCUGGUCACAUAACCUGUAAUGAAUAGUUUCACUCAAAUAAUUGGUAAUCUUGCUAUGUAAAUUUUUUUCUCUUUUAACCCAAAUUUUAGUUCAAAGCUUUAAUUCUAGUCUUUGAACUAUUAAAAUUGUAAUAUUUCUAUUUCUUUUCUUCAGGUAAAUAUACUUUCUAAAGAAAGGAAGCUAUUGUUAAAAAACAUUUUGGCUCAAUUUUUUUUGAAGAAUUUCACUGACCUCUCUAAUUAAUUUUUUUGGGUGUUACAACUGCAUGGUGAGGAAGUGAUCCCACCAUGUCCUAGCGGAUCCAUGAAGCUACUAGGCGGCGAAUCUAACCUUGGCUGCAUCAGGGCACACUCCCGUAAGUAAUGGAAACUUGGAUCCCACCACAUAGAGCCAUACGUCUGCAUCCAACGGGUCUUUCGCUCGAAUGAACAACUGUGGCUGCGUGCUGAGGAAUUCUUUGUAGGUAGCGACCAUUUGUGGACGCUACUGUUGCCCACCACCUCCAAAGUGCCAAGGCUGAGGUUGAGGCUAACAUUGCACCAGCUAUCACAAAAUUUCAUUCUGCUGUGCCAUCAGCUCUUGCAUCAUGGGAGCCUAUGGUGGUGGCGGAGGAACAUGCCAAUUUUGUCCACAGUGCACUCUUCCUGCCAUCUAAAAUGCAGCAAUCCCUGUUGUUAUACUCAUGCCCCAUACUUGUGAAAUGUGACUUAAUGAGUAAUGAGUAAGCAGUAAAUCUU